GAUCCCGGCUCGGAUGAGCGCUAGCGACAGGCCUAACACAUGCAAGUCGAGGGGUAACAUGGAAGUAGCAAUACAACUGAUGACGACCGGCGCACGGGUGAGUAACGCGUAUGCAACCUACCUACUACAGGGGGAUAGCCCGGAGAAAUCCGGAUUAAUACCGCAUAACACAGGGAUUCCGCAUGGAAAUAUUUGUUAAAGAAAUUCGGUAGUAGAUGGGCAUGCGUUCCAUUAGCCAGUUGGUGAGGUAACGGCUCACCAAAGCAACGAUGGAUAGGGGAACUGAGAGGUUUAUCCCCCACACUGGUACUGAGACACGGACCAGACUCCUACGGGAGGCAGCAGUGAGGAAUAUUGGUCAAUGGACGAGAGUCUGAACCAGCCAAGUCGCGUGAAGGAUGACUGCCCUACGGGUUGUAAACUUCUUUUGUGCUAGAGUAAAAAAGAGUAUGUAUACUCUCUUGCAAGUAUAGUACGAAUAAGCAUCGGCUAACUCCGUGCCAGCAGCCGCGGUAAUACGGAGGAUGCGAGCGUUAUCCGGAUUUAUUGGGUUUAAAGGGUGCGUAGGCGGGACCUUAAGUCAGCGGUGAAAGUUUGAGGCUCAACCUUAAAAUUGCCGUUGAAACUGGGAUCCUUGAGUGUAUUUGAAGUAGGCGGAAUUCGUAGUGUAGCGGUGAAAUGCAUAGAUAUCACGAAGAACUCCAAUUGCGCAGGCAGCUUACUAAACUACAACUGACGCUGAAGCACGAAAGCGUGGGUAUCAAACAGGAUUAGAUACCCUGGUAGUCCACGCAGUAAACGAUGAUUACUAGCUGUUUGUGAUAUUACAAUAAGUGGCUAAGCGAAAGCGAUAAGUAAUCCACCUGGGGAGUACGCCGGCAACGGUGAA
rnacentral:rRNA from 1 species